rnacentral:rRNA from 1 species
GAUGAACGCUGGCGGCGUGCCUAAUACAUGCAAGUCGAGCGAACAGACGAGGAGCUUGCUCCUCUGACGUUAGCGGCGGACGGGUGAGUAACACGUGGAUAACCUACCUAUAAGACGGGGAUAACUUCGGGAAACCGGAGCUAAUACCGGAUAAUAUAUUGAACCGCAUGGUUCAAUAGUGAAAGACGGUUUUGCUGUCACUUAUAGAGGGAUCCGCGCCGCAUUAGCUAGUUGGUAAGGUAACGGCUUACCAAGGCAACGAUGCGUAGCCGACCUGAGAGGGGGAUCGGCCGCCUUGGAACGGAGACACGGUCCAGGCUCCUGCGGGAGGCAGCAGUAGGGAAUGUUCCGCAGUGGGCGAAAGCCUGACGGAGCAAGGCCGCGUGAGUGAUAAAGGUCUUCGGAUCGUAAAGCUCUGUUAUUAGGGAAGAACAAAUGUGUAAGUAACUAUGCACGUAUUGACGGUAACUAAUCAGGAAGCCACGGCUAACUACGUG